rnacentral:rRNA from 1 species
CCAGACAGCCAGGAUGUUGGCUUAGAAGCAGCCAUCAUUUAAAGAAAGCGUAAUAGCUCACUGGUCGAGUCGGCCUGCGCGGAAGAUGUAACGGGGCUAAACCAUGCACCGAAGCUGCGGCAGCGACACUGUGUGUUGUUGGGUAGGGGAGCGUUCUGUAAGCCUGUGAAGGUGUGCUGUGAGGCAUGCUGGAGGUAUCAGAAGUGCGAAUGCUGACAUAAGUAACGAUAAAGCGGGUGAAAAGCCCGCUCGCCGGAAGACCAAGGGUUCCUGUCCAACGUUAAUCGGGGCAGGGUGAGUCGACCCCUAAGG